rnacentral:tRNA from 2 species
CUGAUCAUAGCUUAAUGGUUAAAGCAAGAGAAUCAGGCUCUCUCUAUCUUGGUUCGAUUCCGAGUGGUCAGG